GCUUACGGCCAUACCAGCCCAAGAACGCCCGUUCUCGUCUGAUCUUGGAAGCUAAGAAGGCUGGGCCUGGUUAGUAUUUGGAUGGGAGACCUCCUGGGAAUACCAGGUGCUUUAACUG
ensembl:rRNA 5S_rRNA 5S ribosomal RNA